rnacentral:rRNA from 1 species
AAUGGGCGAAAGCCUGAUCCAGCAAUACCGCGUGUGCGAUGAAGGCCUUAGGGUUGUAAAGCACUUUCAGUGGGGAAGAAGGCCAUGCAAUUAAUACCUGCAUGGUUUGACGUUAUCCACAGAAGAAGCACCGGCUAACUCUGUGCCAGCAGCCGCGGUAAUACAGAGGGUGCAAGCGUUAAUCGGAAUUACUGGGCGUAAAGCGCUCGUAGGCGGGCAUUUAAGUCAGAUGUGAAAUCCCCAGGCUCAACCUGGGAACUGCAUUUGGAACUGGAUGCCUAGAGUAUGGUAGAGGAAAGUGGAAUUUCCAGAGCAGCGGUGAAAUGCAUAGAUACUGGAAGGAACACCAGAGGCGAAGGCGACUUUCUGGACCAAUACUGACGCUGAGGAGCGAAAGCGUGGGGAGCAAACAGGAUU